ACACGCUGGCGGCGUGCCUAACACAUGCAAGUCGAACGAGGUCCAUGAGAGCUUGCUCUCAGAAGACCUAGUGGCGAACGGGUGAGUAACACGUGAGAAACCUGCCUCGGAGUGGGGAAUAACUCGGGGAAACUCGAGCUAAUACCGCAUAUCUUCACAUGAUCGCAUGGUCGAGUGAAGAAAGAAUUUCGCUCUGAGAGGGUCUCGCGGCCUAUCAGCUUGUUGGUGGGUAACGGCCCACCAAGGCAACGACGGGUAGCUGGUUUGAGAGAACGAUCAGCCACACUGGGACUGAGACACGGCCCAGACUCCUACGGGAGGCAGCAGUGGGGAAUCUUGCGCAAUGGGCGAAAGCCUGACGCAGCAACGCCGCGUGCGGGAUGACGGCCUUCGUGGUUGUAAACCGCUUUCAGCAGGGACGAAAAUGACGGUACCUGCAGAAGAAGCCCCGGCUAACUACGUG
rnacentral:rRNA from 1 species